rnacentral:rRNA from 1 species
GCAGGCCUAACACAUGCAAGUCGAGCGGCAGCGGGUCCUUCGGGAUGCCGGCGAGCGGCGGACGGGUGAGUAACGCGUGGGAAUCUGCCCUCUGGUGGGGGAUAACCCGGGGAAACCCGGGCUAAUACCGCAUAAGUCCUAUGGGAGAAAGCGGGGGAUCUUCGGACCUCGCGCCAGGGGAUGAGCCCGCGUCGGAUUAGCUAGUUGGUGGGGUAAAGGCUCACCAAGGCGACGAUCCGUAACUGGUCUGAGAGGAUGACCAGUCACACCGGGACUGAGACACGGCCCGGACUCCUACGGGAGGCAGCAGUGGGGAAUCUUGGACAAUGGGGGCAACCCUGAUCCAGCCAUGCCGCGUGUGUGAAGAAGGCCCUAGGGUUGUAAAGCACUUUCAGCAGGGAGGAAGGCUUCGGGUUAAUACCCUGGAGUACUUGACGUUACCUGCAGAAGAAGCACCGGCUAAUUUCGUGCCAGCAGCCGCGGUAAUACGAAAGGUGCGAGCGUUAAUCGGAAUUACUGGGCGUAAAGCGCGCGUAGGCGGUGAGUUAAGUCGGAUGUGAAAGCCCAGGGCUCAACCUUGGAACUGCAUCCGAUACUGGCUUGCUAAGUGUGGUAGAGGGAGGUGGAAUUUCCGGUGUACGGUGAAAUGCGUAAAGAUCGGAAGGAACACCAGUGGCGAAGGCGGCCUCCUGGACCAACACUGACGCUGAGGUGCGAAAGCGUGGGGAUCAAACAGGAUUAAAUACCCUGGUAGUCCACGCUGU